AUUCAUUACUUGUACUUCUUACAUACUAUUUUAAAAUUUAAAUUUAGAAAUUCAUGCUGAAGUUCAACUUAAGAAUUACGGGAAAUUUCUUGAGGAAUAUACAUCUCAACUGAGAAGAAUUGAGGAUGCAUUGGAUGAUUCAAUUGGUGAUGUUUGGGAUUUCAAUCUUGAUCCAAUAGCAUUAAAGGUUUGAUUUUGUUUUAUUUUUAAUUUAUGUGUGUAUUUUCAGGACAUACUAUAUCUUGAAAACAUAGUUUUAAAAAAUGGAAUAUACAGUUGGCCCUUGAACGAUGUGGGGGUUAAGGGCACUGACUUCCCAUGUCAUUGAAAAUCUGCAUAUAACUUUUGACUCACCAAACUUCACCUCCUGUUGACCAGAAGCCUUACCAAUAACAUAAACAGUUCAUUGACACAUAUUUUGUCUGACACAUAUUUUGACACAAAUUAUGUAUUAUAUUCUUACAAUAAGCUGGAGAAAAGAAAAUGUUAUUAAGAAAAUCAUGACGAAAAAUACAUUGACAGUACUGUACUGUGUUUAUAAAAAAAUGAAUCCACAUGUAAGUGGACUCACACAAUUCAAACCUGUGUUGUUCAGAGUUCAACUGUAUGUUUUUAUUAUUUGGAAUCUAGAGAACUGAAACUUGGAGGAAAAAUUGUUAAUUUAUUCAUCUCUAAGCCAUGCAGUUGGUUUUUUUUUUUUUUUUUUAAUGAAUGACACAAACCUCUUUGAGGUAGCCUUUGUUUUUCACCAAGAAAAUGAAGAGGGUUGGAAUAAAAUAUUCAAGCUUUAUUUUUUCCUUAUUGAGAUUAUUUUAUGUGCAGUGAAAUACAUAGAUUUACAAUAUACUGUUCGGUGAAUUUUGUCAAACAUCCAUAUCCAUGUAACUCAUAUUCUAAUGAAAAUAUAGAAGAUUUUCAUCAUUUCCCCUUAUGCUAUUUAGAGGAUCUUAAUGUGGGAGUACUGGCAUUUUUGGUUUAUUUUUUAAAUUUUUUAUUUAAAUUCCAGUUAGUUAACAUAUAGUGUAAUACUAGUUUUAGUAGAAUUUAAUUUGGGAGUAAUUUCUUAAUGCACAAAAUAAGGCAUUCCUGCUCUGUACCAUUUUCAGAUCAUUCUGUCUUGUUUUAUCUUUGAAACUGUAAUCGGUUACCACUUAAUAAUUAACACUUACUGAGCAUUUAUUAUGUACUAGACACUGCCCUCAGUUACAUAUUGACUUUUUCAGUAACAGUUUUCUUGAAAUUCACACAUCUCACAAUUUUUGGAAUUCACAUAUCGUAUAAUUCUUUGUUUUUUUAGUGUAUUCACAAAAUCAUGCAGGUAUCACUAGACUCAAUUUUAGAGCAUUUUCAACACCCUCAAAAGAAAUCCUUUGUCCCUUAGCAGUCACUCCUGAUCUAGUGUGGUGUUAGUGCUAAGUACAGGGUUCAACGCAAGUUUGAAUAGAAUAGAUAGGGCUAGACUCAAUUUGUGUAUUCAAAAUUUCAAUUAUUUUUUUCAAAUUAAAAAGAAAUGUUCUUUCCCUCUGUUACUAUAGCUUUUGCCUUAUGAACAGUCUUCCCUUUUGGAACUCAUAAAGACUGAAAACAAGGUACAGAUUUCUAAACCUAAAAAUCUUAUUUUUUUGAAAUGCUUUAGUUAUCUGCUAUAACUUAUAUUUUUUAUGUUUUUACACAUGAAACUAGGUCUUGAACAAAGUCAUUACUGUUUAUGCUGCACUUUGUUGUGAAAUCAAGAAAUUAAAGUAUGAGGUAAUUAUUUGUACUCUUAAGAUGUUAAAAACAUGAUAUAAAAGCAAAUAUGUGCUUACAUAUACAGUGUAUAUAAAGAUUUAUUGCAUGUUGAAUUGUUUAUUUAAAGUAAUACUAAUAGUGAUUACCAUUCACUGAGUGUGCUUUCUGUGUACCAGACACCAUAGGAAUCCUGUUUAUACGUAGAAUGAAAGGCAGAUAGUAUGAGGAAUAGAUGAGGAAACAGAUGAGCUUAAAGAGGAUGUCACUUGCCUAACAUUUUACUAGUGGUAACUGUUUGAGUCUGGGUCUGCAUACCUUCAGAGUCUGUGUUAUCUGCCACAUAUACUAGCUUUCUAGAUAUAAUUGACUUUUUAGCCUUUUUUUUUUUUUUUUUUAAAGUGAGCUCCAUGCCCAGCAUGGGGCUUGAAGUCACCACCCUGAGAUUAAGAGUUGCAUGCUCUACUGACUGAUCCAGCCAGGCAUCCCAAGAUAUAACCGAUUUAAGAAAAAAAAAAAAAAAAAGCUUUGGAUUUUUAAUAUGCUUUGUAUUACCUUACCCAUGGGUCAUUAAAACUCUGGUAGAAGUUGGUAAACUUCCUCUUUUUUUCUGUACCCUUUUGAUACCAUGCGGUUGCUUUCUCUUCUCAUGAACUAGUGGGAGGAUGUGGGACAAUUAGAAUGGUUAGAAAAGACAAAGGCAAGGGUAAAGAAAUUAAGAGAUAACUUUGAGUAUUAAUGAUAUCUUUGGUAGUCUAAAGAUAAAUUGAAUUUACCUGUUUUGUAAGCAGUUUUUGAAUUUAAGUGAAUUUGUAUGUGAUGUAGUCCUCUGAUUAUUAUUAAAUAUGGAUAACUAAGAGAGCCUAGGAAUUUAAAAACAAAAUAGCAACCUUUAAAAUUAUUUUAUUUUUUUUUAAACAGGCUGAAACUAAAUUUUAUAAUGGUCUCUUGUUUUAUGGAGAAGGAGGUAAGUUUUAAAAUUUUACAUCGUAAUGCCAUAAUGCCUUUUUGACAUUGAAAUGAACAAAAAGUUGACAAUUCUAGGACUACCAUGAUUAUAUGAUGUAUUAAUGUGAGAAAAAUAUUCAGAUUUUUUGUUGGUUUAUUUGUUUUCAUAAGCAGAUAGAAAAAGCCUGAGUGAUGAAGCAGCAGCAAAUUCUCUAAAAUCUAUUUGUGAUAUUUUUAUAACUUACAAAGCACCGUGGCUAGAUAAGGAUUUUCCUUGAAUUCACUAAAUAGUGAAACAGAUGAUUGUUUUAACUGAAUCAUUAAUGAUUGUCUCAUUUUUCUUUUCAGUAUAAACAUUCUGUUUUUCAAUAGUAUGCAGUUUAGAAGAUAUACUAAUAAAAGUUGUAUUUAUUUUUCUUUUUGGGUCUUGACUAAGUUUAAACUAAAAAAUUGAAAUAUGACUCUUUAUUGUUGCCCUUUAAAGCUACAGAUUCCAGCAUGGUGGAAGGUGAUUGCCAAAUUCAAAUGGGAAGAUUUAUUUCAUUUUUACAGGUAACUAGUUUUGACUUUUUGCUGUUUUUUUCUUUUUUUCUUAAAGUUUGGGUAGAUUACACUCAAAAAAGAGUUCAAAUGCUAAGAGCGUGUACUGUGAGAGUAAGACACUUAGUUGGCAUUGAAUUAUAGUUAAGAGGUCAUAAUUCCUGAAAGAUUUUCAUAACAUUUUAUAGAAAUCAGGUAUCAAAGUAAGUUUGUUUCUUUCUUCCUUUCAUAUUUUCAUUUGUGGACAAUUUGUCACCAUGCCUUUUAAAAUAAUUUAAACUUUGGGGUGCUUGGGUGUCUCAGUCGGUUGAGCGUCUGACUUCGGCUCAGGUCAUGAUCUCGUGGUUUGUGAGUUCGAGCCCCGCAUUGGGCUCUGUGCUGACAGCUCAGAGCCUGGAGCCUGCUUCGGAUUCUGUGUCUCCCUCUCUCUCUGCCCCUCCCCUGCUUGCUCUCUCUGUCUCUCUCAAAAAUAAUAAACAUUAAAAAUAAAUAAAAGUUGGAGGGCUGAAAGAAAAGAAGGUGAGAAAGAAUGACAUCUUGCCAUUUGUAGCAAUGUGGAUGGAACUAGAGUGUAUUAUGCUAAGCAAAAUAAGAAAGACAGAUAUCAUAUGAUUUCACUCAUGUGGAAUUUAAGAAACACAACAGAUGAACAUAGAGGAAGGGAAAGAAAGAUAAAAACAGAGAGGGAGGCAAACCAUAAGGGACUCUUAAAUACGGAGAACAUACCGAGGGUUGCUGGGGGUGAGGAGUUAAGUGGGUGAUGGGCAUUAAGGAGGGCACUUGUUGGGAUGAGCACAGGGUGUCAUGUAAGAGAUGAUGGGUUCUACUCCUGAAGCCAGCACUACCCUGUAUGUUGAGUAACUUGAAAGUGCAUUUAAAAAAGUGAAAAGAAGAUAGGUCAUCCAGAGAAAGCAGAUACCACCUCUGCCUCAAGGGAAAAAGGGGAAAGGGUUGGGGUUGCCAGAAUCUGGGAGUUUGGAGCAGGAGCCUUGUGGAGUUAGUGCUCAUAUCUCUGAAGGAACCAGCGCUGCCUGGUGGGCUGGUACCUCUGAGACAGCAACAUGGGGUUGGUUCUGUAGUGCUGAAAGAAGCUGAAGGCUGGAGCAAACUGCCGUUGAUGGGGUGGACUGCUCUUGUCUGGGUUUUAUUGAUAAAAUCAGCAAGAAGUAGGGGCGCCUGGAUGGCUCAGUUGGUUAAGCAUCCAGCUCUUGAUUUUGGCUCAGGUCACGAUCUCAUUGUGGUGAGAUUGAGUCUCUCGUUGGGCUCAGCAUGGAGCCUACUUGGGAUUCUCUCUCAUGCUCUCUCUCAAAAUAAAUAACUUAAAAAAAGAAAAAGCAAGAAAUAGAAAGAAUGUCCUUUUCCUGCCCUCUAGUGUCCUUUUAGUGCCACCUGUUGACAGAACCUAAUGGGAAACCUGCUGGCAGGAGUCUAAGAAAUGUAAUUUGCAGGGUCCCCAGUGAAUGUGUCAGUUUCUCUGUCUAGUUUUAUCAAAUUUCACAUUUCUUAUUUUCAGGAUAUUCUGUUGGUGCAUACAAGUUUAAAAUUGUUAAUCAUUCUUUGUAAGUUGAAUCUGUUAUGUGGUAACCCUGUUUAACUAUAAUAAUUACAUAUGUAAUAUAUGAUUGUAUAAGUAUGUGUUAUAAACUAUAGCUCUGAUAUACUAACAAACUCUAUUUUGUCUGAUAUUAUCACUGUCCCAGCUCUGUUUUAGUUAACAUUUUCUUGAUUUAUUUUUUUAUAUUCUCUCAACCUUUCAGUAUCGUUAUGUUUAAGUUGUGAUUCUUUAAAGUCACAUGUAUCUGGAUUUUGCUUUAUUACAUGAUCUGAAAAUCUGAAGAUCUCUGUCUUUUAAUUGGCUAAUUCUAUUUUAUUUAAAUAGUCUAUUAUUUAAAUAGACUUGUUUCUUCCUUUUUUAUUUUGUGCUAUUUGUCUGAAUUUUAUGUUCUUUGCUUUUAUUGAACUUUUAGAAGUUUAAUAAGAAAGGUAAAACUAGAGCUAUUUAAAAAAAUUUUUUUUAAUGUUUAUUUUUGAGAGAGAGAGAGAGAGAUACAGAGUGCAAGUGGGGGAGGGGCAGAGAGGGAGACACAGAAUGUGAAGCAGGCUCCAGGCUCUGAGCUGUCAGCACAGAGACCGACAUGUGGCUCGAACUCAUGAACCAUGAGAUCAUGACCUGAGCCAAUGUUGGACGCUUAACUGAGCCACAUAGGCGCCCCUAAAACUAGAGCUAUUUAAGUAAAAUUGAAAUGCAUUAUUUAUUUUUGUUUUCAAACAUUUAAAAUUGUUUUUGGAUCUCAUUGACAGCUGCAUAAAAUUAAAAUUUUAAACCUUCAACAAGCGUUUCAUAAGCCCUAGCAUAUGUUAGGAACUGUUCUUGGUGCUGGGGAUACAGCAUUGCACAAAACCAACAGAAAUUCCUGCCCUUGUAGAACUUAAAAUUUAGCCACAGAUUUAAUCAGGCUUUAAAUACUUUUGCAUACCAGUUGUUUUUUUAGGUUUAAGCAUCGAGAGCUUCUGAAAAGAAAUUUUCAGAAGGUAUGGGACGUGGUAGAUGCAAAUUAAUUUUUUCAUGACAAACAUAUGCCUGCAGUCAGUAGUAUUUCCCUUUCUGUGUACCAAAUCUGUUUAUAGGUGAGGUUAAGGGUCAUAAGCAUUUGAAGUUAUUUCAGAGUGACUCCUGGAGAGCCUUUCCCUCAUUGUCCUACUUCCUAAAUUGCCAGCUCUUGAGCUUCUUCGUUCAGGUGUUCGUUUUUUUAUUCACUUCACGGGACAGAACUUUAUUGAGAAGCACAUGAGGGUUAGUCACCAUGCUGGACAGUGGAUACUUAAGGAAUAAGAUAGUCUCUGUCAUUUAAGAAUUACAUGAGUAACUAAAGUAUAAUAUUUAGAAUAAAAGUAUGAAUGAAAUGCUGUGGGGGCAAAGCAGUAGAAAUGACUUUGGGAGGCAGGAGAAGGGUUAAGGACUGCUUACUUGAAGGAUGUUUGGAAUUGUCUGUCUGCAGGUUAACUGGAAAUUUUACUGGAAAACUGUUUUGUUUUUGUUUACCAUUGUUACCAUAAAAUAGAGAAAUGGUGACAUUUAAAAAGCAACUAUGUAACAUAUACUCAACUUGUCAUUUCAGGAACUAUCUUGUUUUGUGACGAGGUGCUAUGAAGUGGUGAUGAAUGUAGUCCAUCAGUUGGCUGCCCUCUAUAUCAGUAACAAGUAAUGGAUUUUGUAAAUAUUUGUGCAUUUAUAAUAGAGAUGCAGGGAAUGUUUUUCUAAAACUAGCCAGUUACCCGAAAUAAUUUUUCAUUUGUUUACUUAUUCUCUCAUUCAUUUAUUCAGCAUCUUUUGAAGAUGCAUGAUGUUUCGAACAGUACUUGAUGUGUAUAAUACAUAGGUUAAUAAGAAUUUCUACCAUGGUAAAUGAUGUUAUCUCUCUGAAUAAGAAUGUUGACAGAAUAAACUUAAAUUUGAUUAUAUAGAAAAGGCUAAUAUGGAAUUAGAACUCGUACCAAAUUCUCUCCCAUUAUUUUUCCUUUACAUUGUUUCCUGGCUUAUUAGAAUCACAUGGGACGUUUCUACAACUGCAGAAUCUGGCGGAGUGGUGCCAGGGAAUCUACACUGAAAAAGAUUUUGGUUUUACUCAGUUGAUCUUGCAAGUUUGAGAACCACUGUUCUAAAUCAAGAAGAAUAAUCAAAUUUUCAUAGAGCCCUUACUGUUCUUAGUACUACAGAGUAAUAUCUCACAUUUGAUUAAUUCUUUAUACUUAAAAACUUUCCCAUUUGCUAUUUAAUUAUAAUCUUACAGGAACUUUGUUUAGGUAUAUGACAAAGGGUUCUCAAUUAUGAGAAGUAACUGAGACCCAGAGGAAUUCUAUAAGAUUCCAUAGCAAUUUAGAUGCUGUUCUUUUGAUCACCAGGUCCAUUCAUUGUUGUUCUUAGUAUACCAGAAUGCAUCUUAACUGUUGCUGUGAACUGGAAGACUGUGUUAACUGUUUCUCAUUCUCAUGUUUUUCUCUGCAGUUAGGUGUUCACUUUAUGUUAUGUUCUUUCACUGAAGCUGUCCUCAGGGCAGGGGGGAAUGAGAGCAUGAGAGCAUGACUACACAUCUGCAGUAUCUGAUGUGUAAUUCAAAGAGAACUCCCCACCACCAUGGCCCUGUCCAAAAGAGAUGAAAUUUAUUUGUAUUCUGAAUUUAAUUUUUAAAAUAUUCUAUCCUGUGGAAUAUCUAUAUGUGCUUUGAUGUAUAAAUACUGUCUUAAAUUAUUUACUGUUGAGUAGGAGAUGUCUAGGAAGUAAAAUUUGAAUUAUCCUGGGGCUUUUGACUUUGGCAUGUUGUUUGUAUGCAUUGUUUUUCAGUAGGAAUGAGAACUCAGAAAUAAACCUGACUAGUUUCCAAAUGCCAGUUUGGGUAAGAUAACGAAGAUUCUGGUUGGGAAUUGAAAAAUUCUUAAUAGUUUAGAAAGAAAUGAAUAUCAGUUUCACUAUUUCUCCAUCUCCAUCCCAAACUUGGUCCUUCAGGUUUAAAGGCUAGGGUUAUUCAUGGGUCACAUAUGGUCAUUUCCCUACCCGUUGAGUUUAGGUAUAGACAAGGAUAACCCUGACUCUGUAUACAUGUUCGUUCUCUUCUUAGAAAAGUGGAGUGUGGCCCCAUAAGUUAUAGUGACUAUAGCUGAAAUAAAGCUAAAUACAUGUUAAAAGUCCAAGAGCUUCUGCUAUGUGUUUUUCUUAAAAACAAAAAAGUUUUUUUUUUUAAUUGGAUGCUAUUUUAUUACAGGAUUGCACCCAAAAUUAUAGAGACAACUGGAGUUCAUUUUCAGGUAAAAGUCAUUUAACUUGAUCUGUAAAACUGUAAUUUUUACUAUAUUUUACUGUGGAGUUUGUGUGAUGGGGGAGUACAACAAUUAUAGCAAGACUCUUCAGAAAAAAAAUUUUUUUUUGCUUCUUUUUAAUUUGUGAAGUUGAUGAGGCAUUAUUGACCCACUAGCAGUAUAAUUCUUAGUUUUUCCCAGUAGUGGCCCAAUGCAAAUUCUCUAAGUGGUCUCUUUGGAGAGUGAAAUAAUUCUGCAAUAUCCCAGUUAAGGAUGAAAUAGUGGGCAAAGCGUUUCUCUAAGGUUUACUGUUCCAUCUGAGGAUUAAUAGUUUCAUCUGUACGUUAAUAAACUGAUUUACCCACUGCUUUAAUUUAGUAAUUCGCCCAGUGUGUUUAACUUUAAAAAUCCAUAGGAAGCUUAACUUCUAACUAGUGAUUAAAUAGUAAUCAUUAAAGGUUUUUUGACAGACUAUGUAUGAGCACUUGGGAGAGCUGCUAACAGUUUUGCUUACCUUGGAUGAAAUUAUUGAUAAUCAUGUCACAUUGAAAGAGCACUGGACUAUGUACAAAAGGUGAGCCAAUUAAAUGUUUGAAAUAUUCUCUUUAUAUAAUUAACGUGUUAGUAAAAAAGAAACAAAUGUAAAUGAUGCAGCUCUUUUAAAAGACCUGGAGACCUAUAUUUAGAAGGAUCUCCUGUCACGUGUUUCUAUGAAUACAGUAACCAUUUUUUUAAUUAAUAAUUUAUUUACUUUUUAAUUUACAUCCAAGUUAGCAUAUGGUGCAACAAUGAUUUCAGGAGUAGAUUCCUUAAUUCCCCUUACCCGUUUAGCCUAUCCCCCCUCCCAUAACCCCUCUAGUAACCCUCAGUUUGUUCUCGAUAUUUAUGAGUCUCUUCUGUUUUGUCUCCCGUUUUUAUAUUAUUUUUGUUUCCCUUCCCUUAUGUUCAUCUGUUUUGUCUCUUAAAGUCCUCAUAUGAGUGAAGUCAUAUGCUAUUUGUCUUUGACUAAUUUUGCUUAGCAUAAUACCCUCUAGUUCCAUCCAUGUAGUUGCAAAUGGCAAGAUUUCAUUCUUUUUGAUUGCUGAGUAAUACUCCAUUGUGUGUGUGUGUGUGUGUGUGUGUGUAUACAUAUAUAUACACACACAUAUAUAUACACACACAUAUAUAUACGUGUAUAUGCGUAUACAUAUAUAUAUAUAUACGUAUAUAUGUACGUAUAUAUGUACAUCUGCUUUAUCCACAUCUUUAUCCAUUCAUCUGUGGAAGGACAUUUGGGCUCUUUCCAGACUUUGGCUAUUGUUGAUAGUGCUGCUAUAAACAUUGGGGUGCAUGUGCCCUUUCGAAACUGCAUACCUGUAUCCUUUGGAUAGAUAUCUAGUAGUGCAAUUGCUGGUCGUAGGGUAGUUCUAUUUUUAAUUUUUUUGAGAAACCUCCAUACUAUUUUCCAGAGUGGUUGCACCAGCUUGCAUUCCCACCAACAAUGCAAAAGAGAUCCUCUUUCUCCACAUCCUCGCCGACAUCUGUUGUUGCCUGAGUUGUUAAUGUUAGCCAUUCUGACAUACAGUAACCAUUUUUAAAUUUCAGAUGGGCUUGUUUGAGAGUAUGGUAUACUUACAUAAAGCAUCCUAAUACUUAAAGUAUAUUAGAAUGUUAAUUUGACUACCUUAGAACUCAGAGUUAUUUUUUUCUUGGGUUCUGUUCAAGUGACAGUUGUUUUCCUGGACUUGGUUUUAUUUCGUUGUAUAUUCUUAAGACUUCUUUAAGUCCAGGGAUUUUAUUUAGUUCAUCUGGUAUCUAGAGAGUACCAGACACCUGAAUUUAGGAUGAUAUAAAAAAGGCAUGAUUAGAAAAUUAAAUAUAUUAGCAUUGGUUUUGUUCAGGUUUUCAAAUGUGUAGAGCCAAACAAGCAAUCAAUACAAAUGUAAAAUUUUGAUUUCUUGGAAAUUUUUCAAUUGAAGAAUUAUUAGUAAAAUUGAAGGUCUUUCUCCUAAUCUUCCACAAGGUUACUGAAAUCUGUCCAUCACAAUCCUUCAAAAUUUGGAAUUCAGGAAGAAAAGCUAAAGCCGUUUGAAAAGUUUUUGCUGAAGCUAGAAGGGCAGUUACUUGAUGGAAUGAUAUUUCAGGUAUGACAGCUCUAUCAGGCUAUACUAAAUGGGCUUGUAUUAGUUGAUCCAGCUCAGAACUCUGUAUGACACUUUGAUAGCAUACCAUUGAAAUAUGUUUUCUUUAGAAGUGUUUGGCUUAAAACAUAGUCAGUGUACUAAAUGUAAUUAUUUCAGUACCUAGCAGCAAACAAAAUUAAUGGUACUAGUUGUAUUUGGGGUGAAGGUUUUGUUUUUUUUUUUUUUAAUUAUGUAGAAGGAUAAAACUAUUCAAGGAUUAAGAUCUAAGCAGUUGCUUUAGUGUUUGUUGUUAAACUCUAGAUUUGGGUGUGUUUAGGGACGCCUGGAUGGCUCAGUAGGUUAGGCGUCCGACUUCGGCACAGGUCAUGAUCCUGCCUUCAUGGGUUCAAGCCCUGUGUUGGGCUUUGAGCUGACAGUUCAGAGCCUGGAGCCUGCUUUAGAUGCUGUGUCUCCCUUUCUUUGUGCCCCUCCCUUGCUUGUACUCUCUCUCCCAUAAAUGAAUGAAUGAAUGUUUAAUUCUUCCUAGGCUCAGGGAAUAUAAUUUGGGUCUGUGUAGUCCAGGUAGCUUCCUACUAUUUAGUAGCUAUUUUAAGUUUAAAUUAAUUAAAAUGAAAUAAAAUUUCACUUUCUCCACCACUUUCACGUGCUUAAUAGCUGCAUAUACAUAAUCUAAUCAUUGCGGCAGACACUUCAAACUUACAUGUUAUAUAUCAAUAAUAUCUUAAUAAAGCUGAGGGAAAAAUAGCCACAAUUAGUCUGUGACUAGCUAUCCUGUCAGCAUAGAAAUGUAGAACAUUUCUAUGAUCACAGAAAGUUCUAUUGGAUAGCAUUGCUUUGGGUAGUAUUUAUUAGAAAUUGCAAUAUAUUUAUAUUUAAAAUCUGCUUCAAGGUUAUUUUUAACAUAUUUUUACAUAAUGACAAUAAAAAAGUUGAUAUAUAGUUGACACAUAAUGUUAGUUUCAGGCAUACAACAUAGUGAUUUGACAUCUAUACAUUAUGCUAUUCUGAGGAUCACACAUUUUACAGAUUGAUCCCAACUAUUGUUUAUACUAAUUAACAGCUAAUAUAUUUGAUUCAGAAGAUAAUUUUUUGUCAUUGAGUCUUUUUCCAGGAGACAUUCUGAUACAUGCUGUAAUAAAGUGCUAGGAAAGUAAUCAUCAGAAAAAAUACACUCUUCUCUUAAAAGUGCGUGGUAAAAUAAUAAAACGUUUUCCGUGCUUCAUCAGAUACAUCUUCCAUACGUCACUGAGCAUCACUGUAUGUAUCUCUUCAUGUAGAAUUUUGGAUUUGUGGUUCAGUUGUAUUUCACUAACUAGGUACUUAAGUACAUAAGUACAUAUUUUUCACUCAAAAGGAUUUAGUUAUUAGAUGACAUUAAGGUAAAAACUUGAGCCUCAGUGUUACUGAGGUUGAAAUGAUGAAUGUAGAAGUUUGUCACACGGUGUAUAUUUAAGUCUGUUUAAUAACUUAUUGAAAGUUUAAAUUUCCCUUUAAAUGUUUCCUAUUUAGGCCUGUAUAGAACAGCAGUUUGAUUCUCUCAAUGGAGGAGUAUCUGUGUCAAAAAAUAGCACUUUUGCUGAAGAAUUUGCACAUAGUAUUCGCUCAAUUUUUGCAAAUGUAGAAGCCAAACUUGGUAAUGUAAAAUGCAUUUUUAAAAUUUUUGUUGAUAAAGUUUGCAUUUCCUUGAAUGUAGAAUUAAGUAUAUUUUUCUCACAUGCUGUUGUUUUAUAAGGAGAACCUUCUGAAAUUGACCAGAGAGACAAGUACGUUGGAAUUUGUGGACUCUUUGUACUGCAUUUUCAAAUUUUUCGGACUGUUGAUAAAAAGUUUUAUAAAUCUUUAUUGGACAUUUGUAAGAAGGUAAGAACUUGGAACUUUUUUUUUCAACUUGAGUAGGUGAAAAAGAUUUUGGAUAAAAUUGGAUAUUCUAAAAUGUAUUUUAUUCCUGAUUAUAAAAAUAGUAAUUUUUACAGUACUUUGUAAUAAUUAUAAAAAUAAUACCAUAAGAAUUUUUAAAAAACAAGCAUUCCCAGGGCACCUGGGUGGGUUGAGCGUCCAACUCUUGAUUUUGGCUCAGGCCAUCAUCUCAUGGUUUGUGAGUUUGAGCCCUGCAUUGGGCUCUACUUUGGGCUCUGUGCCCACAGUGUGGAGCCUGCUUGAGAUUCUCUCUCCUCUCUGCCCAUCCCUCGUGCUCCCUCUCUCUCUGAAAAUAAGCAUUUUUUAAAACCCAAAAACCAAGCAGUCCAGAAAUAAGUAACAUAGUAAAUGGAAGUACUGCAUAAUUCCACAUCAUAUAAAUACCUAUUCGUGGAAGUUCUUCCAGAUUUUUUCCUAUAAAUUAACUUCCUAUUACUGUCACUGCUGUUUUCUUUUUCUUUGGUUCUUCUCCUCUUCUUGCCAUUCCUUGUCAUUAUUGAAGUGGAAAAAAAUUAAAUUUUUUUUUUUUUACAUCUUUGCUAUUUCCAUGAUGUGACACACCUGAUUUCAAAAUUGAAAACUUUGUGUGUAAAAUCAAGUGAUAUGUGACCAUGAGAAUCCAGCCAUCUUGGGUCUUUUAUUUUUUCACUAAUAUAGAAUAAAAGUAAAAGUGGUGAAGAUUGAAGUUUCUGUUUGCUUUUUGCAUAUUUUUAUCUGAAUAUCCAUGAGAGUGUGUAAGUGUUUAAUAUUUAGGCAGAAUAAAACUUUCUCAUGCCCCAUAUCAGAUAUUAGAAUGCCUUAAUUGUGCCACAGUAAGAUUAUUUGUGUCAUAUGUAUAAAUGAUUGUAAGUUGUCUUCCCGUUGUGUAUUGUAGGACUAUUAAACAGCUUACUGUUAGCCUGAAUUUAUUGAUUUCCCUCUCUUACAUUUACUAUUUCAGGUACCAGCCAUCACUCUAACUGCUAAUAUUAUUUGGUUUCCUGAUAAUUUUUUGAUCCAGAAAAUACCAGCAGCUGCCAAACUUCUAGACAGAAAAAGUCUUCAAGCCAUUAAAAUACACAGAGAUACUUUCCUACAGCAGAAAGCUCAAUCGCUUACCAAGUGAGUUUAUAAGUACCCGUAAUGAAAGUGUUUAGAUACUUUAUAUUCUUGGAUCUUACACUGACUCUAAAUAUAUGGAAAAUAUUUGGUUAUAAGAUCAAAUGUACUUACUCAUUACCAGAGAAGAGGUUAGACAAUCUCUAGGAGGCUUACUUUUUAGGAGUUUUUUUGGUUUUGUUUUAAAUGUUUUAGGUUUAAACUUAAAGAUGCAGGAAAAUUGUACUUUAUGGAGAUGUGUGUGUAUAUAUAGGCACACAUACAUAUGUACACAUGUAUUUGCAGACAUAUACACAUACUUUUUAUCAGACGCAUUAAAUAUUUUGUGUAGAGUGAAGUUCCCGCAGUAGAUGUCAUUUGAUGACAUUAAAAACAUUGGGUGUCCAUGACUCAGUGAUGAUUUUUGGAGGCGUUGACUUUAAUUUGAUGCACUCCUUUUUUUAAUUUGUGUUUUUAUGAAAGUAACAUAUGUACAUACUUAAGUCCAAAAGUACUAAAAGUUGAAAGGGAAAAACGACUGUCCUCUGUUCAGUUUCCCCCUGUACCUGAGUCCUGUUCCCUAACAGAAUACUUUUAACUUUAGUUUCUUCUGAUAUUUACAUCCUUAUGUUGUUACAUAAUGUAACAACAAUCAGAUAUUCUUCUGAUAUUUACAUCCUAUUUUGUUGAAGUCUUACUAUGCAAAUUUUCAAAUACACACAAAAGAGAGAAAAUAGAUGAGUUCCCCGUGUUCUCAUCACCUAGCCUCAACACUUAAUUUACUUGCACAUUGUUUCUUGAGUGCAUUGCUAAAAUCACACACUGACCUGGAUGAAGAUUUUAGUGAAGUGAUGCAGGACUGUGCCACUGGCUCUGUGCUGGACACAGUUUUUAUUUGUGAUAUGAUUAGAAGAUAAUAGGGAUAUUUAUUCAUUUUCUUUCGAUCUUGACUGUCAAGGGGAAAUUGGACCACUACUGCAGAAUGGGGGAAGAAGGAGUACAUCAGGAAUAUAGGAGUCCCCUAAAGCAUCUCUUAGUACUCUCAAGUCUGGUGGUUCAAGUCCAUGGAAAAUGACAAUUACUCAAUUCAGGCAGGACUACACAUAACGGAAAUUUCGGAGCUUCCUCCUAUCUUCUAAAACAGAACUGAGGAGGGAAAAAGACAUAGUUCGGAGUUAAAGCUGUGAAUUCAAUAAGAUGGAGACACAGGGAUCAGGUUAAUAGUAUUAAUUAAGGUGUGUGGAUAUCUUAAUUAUCAGAAGCAUAUAUAUAUAUUUUUUUUUUUAAUUUACAUCCAAAUUAGCAUAUAGUGCAACAAUGAUUUCAGGAGUAGAUACCUUAGUGCCCCUUACCCAUUUAGCCCAUUCCCCCCCUCCCGCAACCCCUCCAGUAACCCUCAGUUUGUUCUCCAUAUUUAUGAGUCUCUUCUGUUUUGUCCCCCUCCCUGUUUUUAUAUUAUUUUUGUUUCCCUUCCCUUGUGUUCAUCUGUUUUGUCUCUUAAAGUCCUCAUAUGAGUGAAGUCAUAUGAUAUUUGUCUUUGACUGAUUUCACUUCGCGUAAUACCUUCCAGUUCCAGUCAUGUAGUUGCAAAUGGCAAGAUUUCAUUCUUUUUGAUUGCCGAGUAAUACUCCAUUGUAUAUAUAGACCACAUCUUCUUUAUCCAUUCAUCCAUCAAUGGACAUUUGGGCUCUUUCGAUACUUUGGCUAUUGUUGAUAGUGCUGGUAUAAACAUGGGGGUGCAUGUGUCCCUUUGAAACUGCACACCUGCAUCCCUUGGAUAAAUACCCAGUAGUACAAUUGCUGGGUCGUAGGAUAGUUCUCUGUUUAGUUUUUUGAGGAGCCUCCAUUCUGUUUUCCAGAGUGGCUUCACCAGCUUGCAUUCCCAUCUUAGUAUUCUUUAAUAGUGUGAUGCAGUUGCUAAAAAUGCCAAUACAUACUUGGAUUAUGUUAAUAACUAUAUCCAGAUUAUGGGAAAUGGUACUUAUAAUAUCUAGGCCAUGUGAAUUGGUAGUUUCAUUGAAUUUUUAUUGGUCAGAUCAUAGUUGGUGUCCAGUGGUGUCACAUUUUUAAGAGGGACACAAAAUGCAGCAACCCUAAAUGCAGCUGAUCAGGGUAUGUCAGAAGACCUGACAACCAUGCCUUUUGAAGAAUCUCUACAUAGUUUGACCUUUAAAAGAGAAAUCUGAGAAAUGAUGUGGUGAGCUCCUUAAAUAUUUGAGGGGCAUUCAGGUUGAAGAGGGAACAGAUUUGAUCUCUGUGGCUCCAGAGAUCCAAAAUCGCCAACAUGAUUGAGCUCUUAGUAGCAGGCAUUAUGCUAAAGGCUUUAGACACUUUGUUUUAUGCAAACCCUGUAAUAGUCUUCUUAUGUGGGAAAAAAUAAAGGUAACAACUAAUAUUAACCCAGUGCUUUCUGUAAGCCAAUAACUAAACUGUUCCAGGAACUUCACAUUUAUCAUCUCCUUUAAUCAUGAGAGAAUCCUAUGAGGUAGAUACUGUAAUUAUGGCCAUUUUGUAGGUGAGAACAUUGAAAUACAGAGAGAUUAAACUUGCCCAAAUUUAAACAGCUAGUAGGUGGCAGAGCUGGGCAGUCCCAACUCUAGAGCAUAAGCUGUUAACUGCUACUCGACAGUACUAUUUUUAUCCCAUUUUUAGAUAAGGAGAAUGAGGCUUAGAGAAAUGAACUUUGCCAGGUCAGAGAGCUAGGUGUGCUAGUGUGCAAACCCAUACCAGUCCUGCUGAAGAGCCUCUGCUACCAAGUCCUGGAGGCUGUUCUGAGAGGUAAUGCACUCUUUACUGGCACUGUGUAGGUAAAGUAUAGAUGACCUCAGUCCAAGAUGCUGUAGGAAGUGAGGCUUAUCAGGUAGAAGAUUGAAUAAAUUGACUUUCAAAGACUCCCUCCCCCCCAUGAUAACAUUUUAUGUUUCUAAAUUCUUUGAUUCCAAAGAUACACAGUUACCAUAGAGCUCCAGGGAGCUGAAGGGGAUAGUGUCUUUUUCAUUCUCCUUGCAGUUCUCCCAAACAAACCUAAAAUUCACUAAAAUGAAACCCAGGAGAGGUGAGACAGUGUGACCAGCAUGAGUUUUAUCCAGUGUUUUAGGAAAAAUUGAGGGAGUGAACAAGAGCUGUCCCAGUUAGGUUCCAGAGUUCAUUAGAUAAUGAGGAAACAGUGGGGGACAGUUUCCCUGCCCCCUGCCCAAUAUGCACUAGACUUCAGCUGGCCAAGUGUCCCAGCCACAUUCCUGCCUGGGGUCCAAGGUUUGUAGGUUGCUGCAUUUUGCUUUUCAUUCAAAACCAUUUUGACACUGGAAAUACUUCAGAGGAUAGAGCUCUGAACCUUCAUUUCAAACCUCUGUUGACAUGCAAGUGUUACUGCCAUUUGGUGAUUUAUAUUGGGACAGAUUUUUUUUUUUUUCCUUAGUGUUUUUCCUGUUUGUACUUUGAAAUGAAGCUGACCAUCUGACAGGACCCUUGGCUAUUUUUGGACUCCAUUUGUCAAAAACUUGUUUUUUAAAACUUGAAACAGCUUCAUUUUCAUGUAUUUAUAAGAGAGGAAUAUCAUCUAGUGUUUGAAUGUAGGAGUGAUGGGUGGAAUAAUGGAUAAUCUCUGCUUUAUCCUGCAUAGUCUGAUCUAAAACUGAGUGAGUGCCCUUGACUGUGUUAUUAGCCUUCUUCAUAAGGUUACUGGUUUGAUUACUGUCAAGGAGGGCCCUAUAAUCUAGGCCUCUUCCUUCUGUCUUGGCUUAUGACCUUUCUGUUCCCUCCUAUACUUGUAUCCGUGCUGAAUACUGAUCACAGCUUCCUCAAAAGGAGGCAUUGCUCUAGGACCCUGCUCAUUCUCCGUGUUUCACAUUUUUAAGUCAAAUAAUCCACAAGUCAAAUAAUGUUAGCACCAUUUGAGGCAAAGCCAAAAGUACAGCUGUUGGUGUCAUUUGUUUAAUGGAAUCCUGGCUCAGCAAGAAAUUUUUCUUAGAUUUGAUGCUAGGGUUUUACCUCUUUAAAAGACAGUUAUGAAAAAUUUUGGUGUAAUCCCUCUUCAGACUGAGUUCUUGACAUUGUCAGACUCUUUGGCAGUAUGGCUGACCAGUGACCUCACUGUGGGGUUCAGAUUUCGGUCAGGUGAGUCUCUGCAGUCCCUUGCCUGGAGUGCUAUCCUCUAGUUCAUUCUGACUGGCAGUAAUGGGAUGUUUCUCUGACUGGAGGAAGUCUCUAAAGAGUUGGUAACAUCAGAUUCCACAAAGGGGAAUUGUUUGUUUUUCCACACUAAACCUUUAAAAUAAAAAAGAAGUGUAUAUUAAAUACCUUCUGGGCUAAAAGUUUCCAUUUUAAGCCAUUUGAGAUACAUUGAUAGAGUGAUUCAGUGUUUGUAAUUGGCUUGCAGCGGAGAAUUAAAUCAGUAGAUUUAGUCUUUCCUGGAUAGGAAAGCUUCCUAGAUUUGGGCUUUUAUCUUGGGUUGGCUUUUUACCAGUUAUGAUCUUGGGCACGUUACUUAACUUCUCUGUGUAUCAGUUUCCUCUUAUAGAUCAUAAGGUUAUGUGAGGAUUAAAUGAGUUACUUUGCGUACAGUGAUUAGAACAGUGGCUGGCAUAUAGGAAGCGUUCAAUCAGUGUAGCUUUUAUAUCCAGAUUCUGACCACUUCCAGCCUUCCCUUCUGGUUCAAGUUGUCAUCCCCUUCUGCAUUAUCAUGGUAGCUGCCUGAGUCGUUUUUCUGUUACCCCACUUGUCCCCUUUACAGUUUAUUUUCAGCAUCUCAGCCAAGGUGAUUUUGGUCCUCUGCAAAGUUAGAUAAAGUCACUCUGCUCAAAUGCUUUGGUGGCUUUCCAUUGAAGCCCUCUCUACAAGGUCAUACACAAAUCCUGUUCUACUCCCCACCCUUCCUGCCCCCCCAACCCCCACCUCUGUACUUCUCUGAUUUCCUUUUAUGUUCUCAUCCCUGUUCUCUGAGCUCCAGCCAUACUGACUUCUUUUUAUUACUUGAACAUGCCAGACGUUUGCGUUUGUUAUUUACUUUCCUAGAAUUCUCUUCUCAUAUAUUUACAUAGAUUACUCAUUCAUCUUCUUCAAAUCUUGGCUCAAAAUCAUAAUUUCAAUGAGCCUGCCUUGAUCACUGUAAUUAAAAUUGUACCUGCCCUCCAAGUCUCUGUCUCUUUUUUUCUCUCUGCUGCAUUUUUUCCAUAGCACAUAUCUAACAUCUUACAGAUCUUAAUUAUUGAUUUCUUUGUUACACAACUCUCCUUUCUUCAAAGAAUGUAAACUUUAUUGUGGUAGGGAUUUUUAUCUAUUUUGUUUACUGCUAACUUUUAUUUUUAGUACUGAGAAACAGUGUCUGGCCUAUAUAGGCAUGAACAUUUGUUGAAUGAGAAAAUAAUAUAUGUAUGUAGGAUGUCUGUAAUUUGAAAACCAGAAAGGUGGCUCCUGCAAGGAAAUAUUUUAUCCCAACCAGUUCAAAGAAAUGGAAGUAAAUUUUAUUUCCUGUGCUGAGUAACCCCAAUAUUUUCCUUUGUUAGAGAUGUACAGUCUUACUACGUCUUUGUGAGCUCAUGGAUGAUGAAAAUGGAAUCUAUUUUAUCUAAAGAGCAGAGAAUGGAUAAAUUUGCUGAAGACCUCACCAAUAGAUGUAAUGUUUUUAUACAGGUAGUUGCAUCUUCUUACUUAGAAUAUUUUGGGGGUCAUUUCUUUGUUAAUUCAAUGUAUAGAACUUACACUUUGAAAAAACUGGAAGGGGUAGGAUAUGUUUUUGUUUUUAAAAACUGAAAUUGAUUUGAUUAUGUUUAGAUCUGUGUGACUAAUUUAGAUUUUCUAAUACAUGCAUUUAAAUCUCUGUAUUCUCUUCAAAGCAUGACUUUUUUUGCUGUAUCCCGUAAGUUUUGAUAUGUUGCAUUUCCAUUAUUUAGUUCAAAAUAUAUAAGAAAUUUUAUUGUGAUUUCUUUUUUGAUCUGUGGGUUAUUUUGAAGAUAUGUUUUAAUUUGUAAAGAUAAGAGGAUUUCCUAGUUAUCUUUUAUUAUUGAUUUCUAGAAGUACUAAAAUAAUUUUGCUAUUUUUAAAUUUGUUGAGAUUUGCAUUAUGGCCCAGCCUAUGGUCAACUUUGGUAAACAUUUCAUGUACACUUGAAAAGAAUAUGUAACUUGCAUUUAUUGGUUGUAGUGUUCUGUAUAUGUCAAGUAGGUUAUGUUUGUUAAUGAUUUUGUUUACAUAUUGUGUCAGUUACUGACAGAAUUGGGUUAGAAUCUCCCACUAGCAUGGUGGAUUUGUCUGUUUACCCUUUGUUUUUGUUUUAUAUGUUUUAAAACCAAGUGAGUGCAUAACAUUUAAGAAUUAUUAUUUAUUCCUGAUGAAUUGAACCUGUUGUUAUGAAAUAUCUCUUUCAUUUCUAGUAAUGCUCUGUCUUAAGUCUUGUGUGUAUAAUAGUAAUAUAGCUAUACCAGUUCUCUUUUAGUUAAGGUCUACAUAGUAUGUCUUUUUUUCAUCAUUUGAGUUGCAACCUGUUUGACUCCUUAUAUUUAAUGUGUGUCUCCUGUGUGUAAGCAGUGUGUAAGCAGCAUAAAUUUUUCCUCAGUCUAGUUGUCUUUUUUUAUUAUUUUCUCUAUGUCAUUGCUGAUGUAUUUGGAUUUAAAACUAGCAUCUGACUAGUUGCUUUCUAUUUAUCUCACUUGUUCUGUGUCCCUUUUACUUUCCUUUCUUGCUCUCUUUUGAAUUAAUUCAUCAUUUUAUUUCUCCUUUAUUGUUAAUUCUGUAUCCUUUUACUGGGUUUUUUUAGUGGUUACUCUAGAGAUUUUAAGUGCAUCAUUUAACCUUCAACUCCAAAAUAAAUGAGUAGUUUUAUCUCUUUCUAGACAGCGUGAGGAUCUUAAACCACCGUAAUUCUCUUUAUCUACCGUCUCACUUCUGAGUUGUUGUUUAUUUUGAUUCAUUUUAUAUAUUAAACUUCUCGAGGCAUUAUUAUUGCUGCUGUUGUCUUUAUAGUCCUGGUCCAUUUAGAUUUAUCCAUAUGUUUACCUGUUCUGUUGCUUUCUGUUCUGCGUCUCUUCAUUCUUCAUAUAUAUAUAUAUAUAUAUAUAUAUAUAUAUACAUACACGUAUAUAUACAUCUACAUAUAUAUAUGUGUAUAUAUGUGUAUGUAUAUAUGUAUAUAUAUACGUAUGUGUAUAUAUAUAUAUGUAUUUGUGUAUAUAUAUAUAUAUUUUAUUGUUUAUUUAUUUUUGAGAGUGAGACAGAGAAGUAGAGCAUGAGCUGGGAUGGGGCAGAGAGGAGGGAGACGUAGAAUCCUAAGCAGGCUCCAGGCUCCAAGCUGUCAGCACAGAGCCCAACACAGGGCUUGAACUCACGGAUUGUGAGACCAUGACCUGAGCCAAAGUCAGACGCUUAACCGACUGAGCCAUCCAGGUGCCCCUCUUCAUUCUUCUGUUUGUGGAAUAGCUGUUAGUAUUUCAUUUAAAAUGUCCUUCUGUUGAUGAAUUAUCACUAUUUUUUUUGUCUGAAUAUGUCUUUAUUUCAACUUCAUUUUUGUUUUUUAACAUUUAUUUAUUUUUGGGAGAGAGAGUGGGUACAGGGGAGAGGCAAAGAGAGGGAGACAGGAUCUGAAGCAGUCUCUGCACUGUGAGCACAGAGAGCGAUGUGGUGCUUGAACUCACAAACUGAAAUCAUGAUCUGAGCCGAAAUCCAGAGUUGGCUGCUUAACCCACUGAGCCAUCCAGGCACCCCUCAACUUUGUUUUCAAAAGCAUUUUUGCUAUGUAGAGAAUUCUGGGUUAGCAGGAUCCCUCACCUCCCUCCCCCACUUAUUGUCUUCUGGCUUUUAUUUUUGUUGAGAAGUUAGCUGUCAGUUUUCUUGGUUUCUGAAUGUGAGUCUUUAAUUGCUUGUAAGAUCUACUUUUUGGUUGUUAGUAAUAUUGCUUUAAUGUACCUAGGUGUAGUUUUCUUUGUGUCAGUGCUGCUUGGGAUUUGUAGAGCUUCUGGAAUUUGUGGAAAAUUCUCAGCCACUAACUCUUCAAGUACUAUUUCUGUUUUAUUCUCUCUCUUCUUUUCUCUUUACCUAUGUCUAAUUUGUUAAGCCUAUCUACUGAACUCUUAAUUUUACUUAUUUUGCUUUUUAGCUUUUUUUAUAGUUUCCAUUUCUUUUUCUGAAAAAAUUUUGUUUCUUUUCCUUCAACAUAGCAGAAUUAUUUUUAAGCCUAUGUCUAGUAAUUUCAUUAUCUGGAUGUUUCUGUUAUCUAUGUUUCUCUUGUUUUUGGAUAUGUCUUAUUAUCUCUUUGCCUGGUUAUUUUUAAUAAUGUGCACAUUGUAUAUGAAAAAUGGUGGAUAUAACUUGAAGAUCUGGAUAUUGUUUUUCUUUUUCCAGAGAGGACUUGAUAAUUUUUACUUUUGAUAAACAGCUAGUCUGGGACAACUAACAACCCAGAUCACCUCAACCUAGUCAUGGAUUGAGAUGAUUUGAAAUGGGACCUAAAUCCUAUGAUGGCUAUUUUUUUGAGUUUACCCUUACUUUUUAGGGGGUAGUUUUUCAGGAUCCCAAUCCAGAACCUAGGUUUAUAGGACCUCCUUUCCUCUUUGAUGGGCCACGAACUCCUGUUUUUAUUCCCCUCUCCUUUCUGGGAGAUGCUGAAAGGUAACAUUUGGCUUCUGUCUCUAUUCUCUUUUGGAACUGACAGAUGCUUCUUAAGGGAAAGCAGCCUCAAAUGCCAGGCUCACUUCUCUGGGUUUCUUUCUUCUCCCAGAUUUGGCUUUAUAUUUCCUUAUCUUCUUAAUAGCUCUUUGAUGCCUCCUGAGAGAUUAAAAAAAUGUUUUGCCCAGAUUUGCUUGUUCUUUGUACAAAGGUUAGUCCAGAUUAUUUAUUCUUCCAUUAACAAAAACAGACCCUAAACCUCUCCUCUCCCCAUUUAGAUUUUUAAAAUACGUCCUUUAUAUAUAUGUUUCACGAGUUAAUGACCAUCUGGGGACCCAUGAAUUCUUUCUCCCCUGUUCCCCCUCAAAAAAGAAACUCCCCUUUUUAUGCCUGGCUUAGAGUUAUACUUUUGCUGUUCUUUGUUUCUGCUUUUAAACUUUUCGUGGUGCUGCACUAGGGCAGAAUCUGGUGUGAUAGUUCUGUAGCUGACAGGUUAAGACUUCUAGCUCUUUCCUGUGUGUAUUCCCCAAGCUUUGUCACCUUUCUUAGGAUGCUGCCUUCUCUCUCAUUUCUUAUUCUGUUAACUUUGCACAUCUCUUUAUCACAGAGAUAUAAUUGGUUCAGAGAAAAUCCCCUCUCCCACCCACACUAAGUGUCACUUCUUUACUGAGCCACUGUUACACUGAUGGGAGAGUACUUUAUCUCUCACAUAUGAUAGAGGACUAGAAAAAAAGUUGAGAAUCACUAGCAUAUGGCUUCUGCCCCAUUUCCUUGAAUAUAUCCAUAAUAGUAUAAUUUAGGUUCAUCCUAAAACUGUACAUGUAUCUUUUUUUGUCCUUUUGUAAACCCAGAGAAUCUUUAUUAUGAUGUUUCUAUGUGGUUUUUUUGGAUCUAAAUGAAAAUAUAUAAGGUAAUAUCCUUUUCCUGUUUUCUUAUUCCAUCCCAUUUCCCUGGGUUUACUAGCACUAAAAAUCUUUUUUAAACCUCACAAGACCUUUGUUCUUCCUUCGUGAAUAGAAAAGUAGGAGAGAAUAUGUUCUUAUUGGGCUGGAAGGAGAGAAGGUCUGAUUAGGACCAACACAGGCAGGGGACAUGGUAGCAGAUGAGCAGUGGGGAUUGGUCCGGGUGAAAAGGAAAGGGGGAAUUGGCUUGGAACUGAGAAAUACCUUUCAGUAUCUGUAUUGGCCAGACAGCAGCUCUCAUACUCAUUUUUCAGUUCCUGGUUCAUUAGGGUCCUUAGCAUUUGUCUGUAGUAGAUAGGAGUCUUUAAACUCUUGUCUGGCAGGUAAGAUAAGGAUGAAUAGAUAGCUUCUGGACAUUCAGAUCAUUUCUCUGAAGGGUUUGUUUGCUUUUUUAAUGGGAAGAUUCUUUAACUGUGAUUUUAUACUUUAAUUUCAGCAGUACUAAACUUAUGGUAUGUAAUAGGUUAAAUACACCUUUAAGGGUUGCUUUGAAGCUUCACCAUUGUGUAACAUUGUGUGAGGAAGAAUAUUUCAAAAUCUUAAGAGCAGACUUUAAAAUAGUUAUUGGCAAGUUGGGGAAUAAUUGUUACAUAGAGAAUGAAAUGUUGAAGAAAUGAAACUUUUCCUUGUGAUUAUAAUCAUUGUUUUAUUUUUUUAUAGGGCUUCUUAUAUGCAUACAGUAUUAGUACCAUUAUUAAAACCACAAUGAAUCUCUACAUGUCAAUGCAAAAGCCAAUGACCAAAACCUCAGUUAAGGCAUUAUGCAGGCUUGUUGAACUUCUCAAGGUAGGUUUAAGAUUAUUUUACCUUGCCAUUAUAAUUGAGAAUUAACCUGUGCUUAAAUUAUGGUGAUCUUGUAAUAUUUGACUUCUUGAUUAUCAGAAUAAAUAAUUGUGGGAAAGUGUACUUAUCUCUCACGUGGCUAAGGAAACUAGCCAUUGAAAGUAAUUUCUGAAUAACUUUAUGAAUGGCCAAUAUAUUUAAACUUUAUUAAAAUUAGCAUGUAUUGAGAGAAGAAGGGAAUGAGAAGGUUAACUUACGUAUUAGUAAAGUUUUACUCAUGGAAGUUUUAAGCAUGUUGCCUGAAUUAUAAAAGAAUAUGACGUGGUACAGAAAUUGGUGCAUAGAUCAGUGGAACAAAUAGGGACCCCAGAAAUAAACCCACAAAUAUAUGGUUAGUUUUGACGAAGGAGGCAAGAAUAUAUAGUGGGGAACAUACUCUAAUAAAGGGUGCCGGGAAAACUGGACAGCUACAUAUAAAGAAUGAAACUGGACCACUUUCUAAUGCUAUACACAAAAACAAAAUCAAAAUGGGUUAAAGACCUAAGUGUGAGGGGCGCCUGGGUGGCGCAGUCAGUUAAGCGUCCGACUUCAGCCAGGUCACGAUCUCGCGGUCCGUGAGUUCGAGCCCCGCCUCGGGCUCUGGGCUGAUGGCUCAGAGCCUGGAGCCUGUUUCCGAUUCUGUGUCUCCCUCUCUCUCUGCCCCUCCCCUCCCCCGUUCAUGUUCUGUCUCUCUCUGUCCCCAAAAUAAAUAAACGUUGAAAAAAAAAAUUUUUUUAAAGACCUAAGUGUGAGACCUGAAACCAUAAAAAUUCUGAAGAGAGCACAGACAAGUAAUUUCUCUGACAUCAGCCAUAACAGUAUUUCGUAGGUAUGUCCUCUAAGGCAAGGGAAACAAAAGCAAAAAUGAACUAUUGGGACUACAUCAUACAUCAAAAUAAAAAGCUUUUGCACAACAGAGGAAACCAUCAACAAAAUAGACAACUGAUUGAGUGGGUGAAGAUAUUUGCUAAUCAUAUAUCCAAUAAGGGGUUAAUAGCCACAAUAUAUAUAUAAAGAACUUAUACAACUCAACACCAAAAACAUAAUCCAGUUAAAACAUGGGCAGAGAACCUGAGUAGACAUUUCUCCAAAGAAGACAUACAGAUGGCCAGUAGGCACUUGAAAAGAUCCUCAGCAUCACUCAUCAUCAGGAAACUGCAAAUCAAAACCGCGAUGAGAUACCCACCAGUUAGAAUGGCUGAUAUCAAAAUGACUAGACGUAACAAGUGUCGGCGAGGAUGUGAAGAGAAAGGAACCCUCAUGCAUUGUUGGUGGGAAUGUAAAUUGGUACAGCCACUGUGGAAGACAGUAUGGAGGUUCCUCAAAAAGUUAAAAAUAGAAAUACCAUAUGAUCCAGUAAUUUCAGUACUGUGUAUUUGCCCAAAGAAAGUGAAAAGACUAAUUUGAAAAGAACAUGCCUCCUGUGUUUAUUGCAGCAUUAUUUAUAAUAGCCAAUGUGUGGAAACAACCUAAAUGUCCAUCAAUAGACAAAUGGUUAAAGAGGAUGUGGUAUACAUGUAAUGGAAUAUUAUACAGCCAUAAAAAGGAUGAGAUUGUGCCAUUUGAGACAGUAUGAAUGGACCUAGAGGGUAUUAAUGUGAAAUAAGUCAAACAGAUAACUACCAUAUAAUUCUACUCAUAAGUGGAAUUUUAAAAAAAUAAAUAGAAAGCAGAAUCAGACCUAUAAAUAAUACAAGGAACAAACUGAUGAUUGCCAGAGGAGGGGUUUGGGGGAUUGGGUAAAAUGGAUGAAGAGGAGAGAGUGGUACAGGCUUCCAGUUAUGGAAUGAAUAAGUCACAGGAAUAAAGGCACAGCAUAAAGAAUACAGUCAGUGAUGCUGCAAUAGCAAUGUAAUGGGACGGUUGAUAGCUACACCUGUAGUGAAGAGAGCAUAAUGUAUCAAUUUGUCAAAUCACUAGUUGUACACCUGAUACUAAUGUAACAUUGUGUAUCAACUGUACUAAAAAAAAAAAAAGACAUCCAUUUUGUAGUGUUCAGAUGCACAUGAGGCUAGUCAACAUGAGGCUAAUUAUUUUGCAGUUUAGGGAAAGUGCUGUAAUCUUGUGAUUUGAAUACUUCUGGAAAUACGAUAAUGUUUUUAGCAUACUCUAUGUAAGUAAAAACAAUAAAAACCCUUUGUAGGCAGGAGAGCCCACUUAACCUUUUAUAAAAAUUAAAAUUAAAAUUUUCUAGUAAAUUUCUGCUAAUGCCUUUAGAUUUGCUUAGGAAAUAAAAUCUUUUGGAAACUUUCAGCCUUUUUUAAAGAUAUUAUAUUUUUUAAUGAACUGUAAAUACAGAAAUGUGUGUAUAUGCAUAUAUUUCAUAAACAUAAUUUUAAGAAAUAAUAGACAAAAACCCACCAUCCCAUUUAAGAAAUAUUGAUAUUUUCAGAAGCCCCCUGUGUUGUGCUCUGUGAUUACAUCUUACCCUGCUCCCUCAGAGGAAACCAGUCCCGCAUUUUAUGCUUCUCAUUCCGUUGGUUUUCUUUUUAGUUUACCGUAUAUAGAUGAAUCUAUAAACCAUUCAUCAUUUAGUCAUAUAUGCUCUUGAAGUUUAUAUUAAUGAAGUAAUACUUUAUGUACUUCUUUACUUUUUUAAACUCAGAAUUUUUUUUUUAAUACUAGAAUUAAUAUUGGAAUUUAUCAAGGUGGUUUUUAGUUUUUUUUUUUUAAUGUUUAUUUAUUUUUGAGACAGAGACAGAGCAUGAAUGGGGGAGGGUCAGAGAGAGAGGGAGACAUAGAGUCUGAAGCAGGCUCCAGGCCCUGAGCUGUCAACACAGAGCCCAACGUGGGGCUCGAACUCACAGACUGUGAGAUCAUGACCUGAUCCGAAGUCGGAGGCUCAACUGACUGAGCCACCCAGGUGCCCCCAGAAUUUUGUAUUUGAACUUUUCCAUGCUGGGAUGAGUAGCUAUGGUUCCUUCAUUUUCAUUGCUGUGUAGCUUUCCUGUAGAUGGACUUUGGGUGAUUUCCAGUUGUUGCUACUAUAUACAGUGUUACUGUUCUUGUAUCUGUUUCUUGGUGUAGUUGUGCCAGAGGUUUGCUGAGUUUUGUAUCUACCAGUGGAUUGCUGGGUUGUGUGUUACUUCCAUGUUCAGCUUUUCAAGAUGAUGCCAGAUUUUUUUUUUUUUUUUAAUGUUUAUUCUUGAGAGAGAGAGACAGAGUGUGAGUGGGGAGGGUCAGAGGGAGACACACACAUAGAAUGCGAAGCAGGUUCCAGGCUCUGAGCUGUCAGCACAGAGCCUGAUGCAGGGCUCAAACCCACAAACCGUGAGAUCAUAACCUGAGCUGAAGUCGGACACUUAACCAACUAAGCCACCCAGGUGCCCUGCCAAAUUGUUUUUUAAAGUAGUGAGAGCAAUCAGCAAUCAGUUUAUAUACCUCUGCAAGAUUAAACUUCCCUUUGUUCCCCAACUGGCCAACAUUGGUAUUAUCUGGCUUUUUCUUUUUCUUUUCUUUUUCUUUUUCUUUUUCUUUUUCUUUUUCUUUUUCUUUUUCUUUUUCUUUUUCUUUUUUUUUUUUUUUUUGGUGAGAGGUAAAUGAUUUUAUUUUUAAUGUUUAUUUCCCUGAUUGUUGAUGAGGGUGUCUUUUCCAAGUGUUUAUUGUGUGAAAAAUCAGUUCAUUUCUUUUGUUCAGUUUUCUAUUGAAUUAUUUGCCUCUUUUAAAAGAUUAUUUGUUAAAAAUGUUUCAUGCAUUCUGAGUAGUAAACCUUCGUGCAUGGCAGAUAUUUUCUCAUAUGUUGGCUUGCCUUUUUAUUUUUUUAAUAGUGGCUUUUGAUGAACAGAAAUUCUUAAUAUAAUUGAAUUUACCGAUCUUAUAUAAUAAUUCUUUUGGAUCCCAUUUACAAAUUCCUUACCUAGCCCAAGGUCUUAAAGAUAUUCUGUGAUUUUGCCUAAAAGUUUUAAGUUGAUUUUCACAGCAUUACUUGUGGUUCUUUUUAGGCUAUAGAGCAUAUGUUCUACAGAAGAAGCAUGGUUGUGGCUGAUUCGGUUUCACAUAUAACACAGCACCUUCAACAUCAGGCUCUUAAUUCUAUUUCUGUAGCCAAGGUAUGAAGGUUAUUGUAUAUUCAGCAUAAUUAUCUUUUUAGUUUGCUCUCCUGUUGUUUUAUGUGUGUUUUUUAUUUUUAAGCAUAUAUAUUUUUUUAAGUUUAUUUCUUUUUGAGACAGUGAGCAUGAGUGGGGGAGAGGCAGAGAGACAGAGGGAGAGAGAGAAUCCCAAGUAGACUCCACGCUGUCAGCGCAGAGCCCAAUACAGGGCUUGAACUCACGAACCAUGAGAUCAUGACCUGAGCCGAAAUCCAGAGUUGGACACUUAAUGGACUGAGCCACCCAGGUGCCCUUAUAUGUGUUUUUUUAGUUUAGUCUGUUUACUCCAUUCCUUCAAACAUAAUAUUUCUUGGUCCUUUUUCUCCAUGGUAUUUUAUGAUUGUUACUUAGAGCAAUCAGGGUUAACUCUGAACUUGCAGCAUGGAAGUUCACUCCUCUAUUAAAGGAACACUCCUCUAUUAAAAAAUGACAUUGUGGGAACGGCUGGGUGGCUCAGUUGGUUAAGCAUCUGACUCUUGAUUUUGGCUCAGGUCAUGAUCUCAUGGUUUGUGAGAUUGAGCCCUGCUUCAAGCUGUGCACAGGCAGUGUGUGGAGUCUGCUUGAGAUUCCUUCUCUUCCCCUCUCCCUCUCCCUCUCCCUCUCCCUCUCCCCCUCCCCCCCCUCCGCUUGUGCUGUCUCUCUCAAAAUAAACAUUUUAAAAAAUGACAUUGUGUAGUUUUAAAAUAUGCCUCUUUUUUAAAGAAUAAUUUAUUAAAUUAAUAUGGAGAUUUUAGACUCUGGCCUAUGUUGCCAUCUUGAACUGCCUUUCAAAAAGCCUAAUAUAGAAAUUUAAAAAUAUGCUUAAGGGGCGCCUGGGUGGCGCAGUCAGUUAAGCGUCCGACUUCAGCCAGGUCACGAUCUCACGGUCCGGGAGUUCGAGCCCCGCGUCGGGCUCUGGGCUGAUGGCUCAGAGCCUGGAGCCUGUUUCCGAUUCUGUGUCUCCCUCUCUCUCUGCCCCUCCCCCGUUCAUGCUCUGUCUCUCUCUGUCCCAAAAAAUAAAUGUUGAAAAAAAAAAUAAAUAAAAAUAAAAAUAUGCUUAAUACAUUUGCUGUCCCUGUCAGCGUUAAUGGUAAUGUUACACAAAUAAAGCACAUAAUGUCAGAAAAAGCUGAUCAAGGAAAGCAUUUGUCUAAGCUCUCUUAAAUUGAAUCAUGGAAAAGAUUACCACGAGGUUUUUCUUGUGAGUCUUUGUUAUUGCUUCAGAACUAAAACUGUUAUUUCUUGCUUUCUCUUCUUUUGUCUUUAGAAAAGAGUAAUUUCUGACAAAAAAUACAGCGAACAGCGUCUUGAUGUACUCUCUGCUCUAGUUUUGGCUGAAAACACUCUAAAUGGGCCAAGCACAAAGCAACGACGACUUAUUGUUUCCUUGGCACUAAGUGUUGGCACACAAAUGGUAAAUUAUUGCUGUUAUGGAAGGAAACUGAAAUUGGAGAUUUCACAUUUUCCUUCUUACCCAAGAAACCUGUUCUUACUUUGACUGCAACUUCUCUAUCAUUCUGUCCCCUCCCUGAUAGAAAACAUUUAAAGAUGAAGAACUCUUUCCACUGCAAGUAGUCAUGAAAAAGCUGGAUCUUAUCAGUGAACUUAGAGAAAGGUAAGUAGGGAUAUGUAACGAUACUCAAAAGAUAAGGCUGAUAGAAACAUCAGUUUUCUUUUUAGCAUAGCAAGAGAAGAAAUAUAACCCAGGUGAACCAUUAGUUCCUCUUGUCACUCCUUUAGCGUGACCAAAGUGAGUCUGUGACCGGGGAUCGUAUUUCUUUAACUUUGCUUCUAUAGUAAGGAAAUAGCUUCUGGAAGAACUCCCAGAGGAAGCAUGGUAUCACCCAUGGAGCACCUGCUAGACCCCGAUGCAUAUUGUGAUUGCUGUGAUGAGUCUCCUAGUGGACUUUUAAAAUUGCUGCUUCAUAACAAAGUUUCAUCUCUUAGAGAUUCAUGUCACAUAGUUUUCUGUAGUUUUAUUUUGACAUGAAUUGGAAUUAAUUCACUAAAAUGACUUAGUUUUGGGCUUAUUUUUGUAGCCAUUUGUGACUUUAUUGUUUUUAUUGAGGAAGCAAUAUGUUUCUUGAAGGGAAAAUGGGUCUUCUGAAUUUUGAUUCCCAGGUGAAUUAAGGUUGUAGCACAGUUUUUCAUUUAAAGCUCAUAUUUAUAACAAUAUUAUGUUGUUUUAAGAAGCUGAGACUUUAAGUGUAGGUACUAGCAUUUAACUUUCUUCUCCUUCUUCAUUAUAAGAUACUUGGUGUAACAUUUUGUUGCCCCAAAAUGGUGUGAAAUAGUCACUUGGCAAGGAUUAUAGGCAGGUUAAGUGUAACUAUUUUUUUGUUUUGUUUUUUUUGGUCACAAUUUUUUAAAAGGUUCUGCUUUUCAACUUUGAGACAGGUAAAAUGGUACAUAUGUGAUGCAAAUAUUAUAAGUUCAGUCCUAUCAAAUAGUAUUGAAAAAUUAAACUCUAUCUUAAGAGUUAUGUGUAUCGUUUUUCAAGUAUGCUUUAGCCUACGUGCAGAAUUCUGACAGUGUCUGAUAUAGGGGAGUUUUGUUACCCAUGUUCAAUUUAGAAAGUAUUUUGUGGCUUUUCUCUACUAAUUUUGGGUUAAGUGAUGUAGGAGAUACAAAAAUGGGUAAGACUGAGCUCUUACCAUUGUGAUGUGUAAUGUUGUUCCUUUCAUUAUUUUGGUGGGGGAGUGCUUUGAUUUUGCUACCACUAAUUACUACUUUACAUUGUAGAGUCCAAACACAAUGUGACUGUUGUUUUUUAUACUGGCAUCGAGCUGUCUUUCCAAUUUAUUUAGAUGAUGUAUAUGAAAAUGCCGUUGAUGCAGCCAGAUUACACGUAAGUGAAGAAUAAUAUAAAAAUAAUCCAUCAUUUUAGUCAGUGUACAAACCAUUCUAGUUUUGAAUACAAUCAUUUGACUUAAUAGAUCAUUUAAAAAUUGACUGCUAAUGUUUUUACAAUACUAUCCAUAUUUAAUGAGCAUUUAUACAGUCUGUAGUUAAAUUUGAUAUAAAUGCUAAUGAAUAUCAAUAUAUUUAACUCUUUUACUCAUAUUCCUAAUCAUUCUCAUUUCACUUUGAUAUUAGUUUAUGUCACAAUAGGCUGACAUUUACUUGUCAGCAAGGAAUAUGUUACUCAGAUCUUUCUAUUUCUUUUGGAAAUAAAUAUUUGAAUGUUCAAGGCAAGAAAGGAUAAGUGAAUGUGAAUUUUUUGUUGAUUUAAUAUAUAUGCUUUAGAGAAUAAAAUCUGGCUCUUCUUAUUUAGGAAAGUAAGACAGGCAUGUGUGAAAAAAAUUAACCUUCAGACUGAGGUUUUGUCUUCAAAGAUAGAUAAUUAACUUUUGUGAUAUAUAUAUAUUUUUUCCUUUGUGCUAUUUUUUAAUUAGAGCUCUGGUGUUUCUACAUUCGUGAACAUUCUGAUUUUCUUCUUAGUACAUGUUCAGUGCUUUACGUGACUGUGUACCUGCUAUGAUGCAUGCAAGACAUUUAGAGUCCCACGAAAUACUUCUGGAUUGCUAUGACAAAGAAAUUAUGGAAAUCUUAAAUGAGGUAACAUCAUAUUUGAGAUUGCAUUCCAAAUACAUGUUUUUAAGUUUUUCAGUGUUUGGAAAAACUUUCUGGAUUGAAGCAGGCUUUCAUUUAUAUUAUACGUUCAUGUUAUGUGUAAGUAGUAAUAUAAAUUAUUAUUUAUGAAUCAUUGUCUAGAAUGAAGGAACUUUUCAGUAUCACUGUUAUGCUAAAUUGGUCUUUAAUUCCUAAGUUUUAUAUAGAAAUUCAGACUAGGGAUUUGGGAAAAAUACUUGACUUUAGUGAAUAGCAGAUUUUGAGUGUAAAGUUCUGUUUAUUAGAAGAAUGCAGAUACAAAGUGGGUUUGAAUAUUGAAUGCGGCUAAUGGUAGCACACUUCUGGCAGCUUAACUAGUGAUAUUUUAUUGAGUUAUUUGGAGAGCUAUGACCAAAUAUUCUGUAUUUAAAGAUGUAUUUGUGUAACAGAAAUAAUUCAGAUAUGCAGUGUAGUAUAUCCCUUCUUGUUUUACUGGAAUCCAUAUUAUAAACACUAACAUUUUAAAUUUUCAUCUAGCAGUAUUACAUGGAGGGAGAGAGAAAAAUGAGUAAAGUUCACAAUGUAAACCAUAUGCAGGUUUGAUAAAAUUAUGAAAAAUUUUAUAUAAUUUCUUAUAUUAACUACUCUUAUUUAAAAAUAAGAUACAUGUCUGGCCAGUAUUUAGAACUUCAUGGUAGACCAGAAAAGAUUGAUUUCAUUACCUUUAGAGCAAUGAAUUUUGUGAUUUUUUUUUUUUUCUUUUUAAUGAUUAUCAUAAGGAAGCUUUUUAAAAAUUUCUUCCGUUGCUUGUUCUCAGGACAUUUCCUUCUUUGUUACUGGUUUCCAUAAGUGUUUAUACUUUAUUUUUUUAGGUAUUUUUUAAUAUUUUAAUAUUUUUUAAUAUUAGGCACCCCUAAAUGUUAUACUUUAUAUUGUAUUUUCCCAUUUUUUAUAAUGAAGCCAUGAGACAUUAGCUUUUUGAAAUUCUUUUUAAGAAUUUUAGAGUAUUAACGAAAAUAAAAAACUUCAGAUUUAUCUAACUGCUUUGUGGUCAAAAAAAUUGUUGGUUUAAAAUGGAGAGCAGGGGCACCUGGCUGACUCAGUUGUGGAACAUGCAACUCUUGAUAUCGGGGUUUUGGGUUCAAGUCUCACAUUUGGUGUAGAGUAUUUAAAAAAAAUUUUUUUAAAUGUUUAUUUAGUUUUGAAAGAGAGAAAGAGUACGGACAGGGGAGGAGCAGAGAGAGAAGGAGACACAGAAUACGAAGCAGUCUCCAGGCUCUGAGCUGUCAGCACAGAGCCCAAUGUGGGUCUUGAACCCACGAACCAUGAGAUCAUGACCUGAGCCGAAGUCGGGCUCCUAACCAACUGAGCCACCCAUGCACCCCUAUUUAAAAAUCUUUUUAAAAAAGUAUAAAAAUAAAAUGGAAAACAAAGUAACUUUCAUUUUCCUGAUAAAAAUAAUAUUUUACCAUAGCUUAUUUAGACUCUUAAACCAGUUUGACAAAUCCUUUCAUCAUUGAACUCAUUAUAAAACUCUAGUGGUCAAUGCAUAGAUGCCUUAGAGGAGCAAGGCAAUAGGAAUAUCAUUUUGAAAAAUUAAGGUAUCAAUUCCUUUGUGAAUAGCAUUUACUGGACAAGUUAUGCAAGGAAAUAGAGAAGGAUCUGCGGCUUUCUGUGCACACUCAUUUAAAGCUGGAUGACCGAAACCCUUUCAAAGUUGGCAUGAAAGACCUGGCCCUUUUUUUCUCUUUGAAUCCAAUUCGAUUUUUCAAUCGUUUCAUUGACAUUCGAGGUGAGUGUUUUGCUUUCCUUCUUAAACUAAUAUUCUAUAUCAGUUUGCCCGUAAGUGUUAACGAGCAACAAAAAAACUUUGAGGGUAUUUUUGUGUUAUUCAUUUAUUCUUUAAUUCUUUUUUGUUUCGUUUUUAUUUUCCUAGUACCUUAUUUUAAAGGAAGAAGUCUGAUGUUCAAAGACAAGUCAUUUCCAAAAGCUUCAUCUUUCUUCCUUUUCUAUUUUUUCAUGAAUCAAAAAUUCGUUCAUAUAUUUACUGAUUUAUUUAUUUAUUUUUGGUAGCUUAUGUAACUCACUACCUAGACAAGACCUUCUAUAAUCUCACAACAGUAGCUCUUCAUGACUGGGCCACGUACAGUGAAAUGAGAAAUUUAGCUACCCAGCGUUAUGGAUUGGUUAUGACGGAGGCUCAUCUUCCUAGUCAGACUUUGGA
rnacentral:lncRNA from 1 species